GAUGAACGCUGGCGGCGCGCCUAACACAUGCAAGUCGAACGGCGCCCACCUCCGGGUGGAAGCGAGUGGCGAACGGCUGAGUAACACGUGGAGAACCUGCCCCCUCCCCCGGGAUAGCCGCCCGAAAGGACGGGGUAAUACCGGGAUACCCCGGGGUGCCGCAUGGCGCCCCGGGCUAAAGCCCCGACGGGAGGGGAUGGCUCCGCGGCCCAUCAGGUAGACGGCGGGGUGACGGCCCACCGUGCCGACAACGGGUAGCCGGGUUGAGAGACCGACCGGCCAGAUUGGGACUGAGACACGGCCCAGACUCCUACGGGAGGCAGCAGUGGGGAAUCUUGCGCAAUGGGGGGAACCCUGACGCAGCGACGCCGCGUGCGGGACGGAGGCCUUCGGGUCGUAAACCGCUUUCAGCAGGGAAGAGUCAAGACUGUACCUGCAGAAGAAGCCCCGGCUAACUACGUGCCAGCAGCCGCGGUAAUACGUAGGGGGCGAGCGUUAUCCGGAUUCAUUGGGCGUAAAGCGCGCGUAGGCGGCCCGGCAGGCCGGGGGUCGAAGCGGGGGGCUCAACCCCCCGAAGCCCCCGGAACCUCCGCGGCUUGGGUCCGGUAGGGGAGGGUGGAACACCCGGUGUAGCGGUGGAAUGCGCAGAUAUCGGGUGGAACACCGGUGGCGAAGGCGGCCCUCUGGGCCGAGACCGACGCUGAGGCGCGAAAGCUGGGGGAGCGAACAGGAUUAGAUACCCUGGUAGUCCCAGCCGUA
rnacentral:rRNA from 1 species